rnacentral:rRNA from 1 species
GAAGAGUCAAUCCUACUUGGAUAACUGUGGUAAUUCUAGAGCUAAUACAUGCACCCAAGCCCCGACUCGGGGGGCAACUCUCGAGAAAGGGCGCUUUUAUUAGAUCAAAACCAGUCGAGAGCUUCGGCUCUCGUUGAGUUUGGUGACUCUGGAUAACUUCACGCUGAUCGCACGGUCUUCGCACCGGCGACGAUUCUUUCAAAUGUCUGCCUUAUCAACUGUCGAUGGUAGGUUAUGCGCCUACCAUGGUUGCAACGGGUAACGGGGAAUCGGGGUUCGAUUCCGGAGAGGGAGCCUGAGAAACGGCUACCACAUCCAAGGAAGGCAGCAGGCGCGCAAAUUACCCACUCCCGGCACGGGGAGGUAGUGACGAAAAAUAACGAUACGGGACUCUUCCGAGGCCCCGUGAUUGGAAUGAGUACACUUUAAAUCCUUUAACGAGGACCCAUUGGAGGGCAAGUCUGGUGCCAGCAGCCGCGGUAACUCCAGCUCCAAUAGCGUAUAUUAAAGUUGUUGCGGUUAAAAAGCUCGUAGUCGGAGUUCUGUCUUCGGCCGAGGGGGGAUUCUGCCUACACGGUAUGAGUCUCGUUCCCUUUGGGUGUGCGGUGUCAAAGCCGUGCACUCUUAACGGUCGGACAAGUCCGUCGGAGUGUGGUUAUUGUUGGAAGGGCAACCGACCAAUGAGGCCACCGUAAUCGUUCGGGGUGCCUUUAAUCGGGUGUCUCGGGCGGCCGACAUAGUUUACUUUGAACAAAUUAGAGUGCUCAAAGCAGGUGACUACCGCCUGAAUAGUACAGCAUGGAAUGAUGAAAGAGGACCUCGGUCUGAUUUUGCUGGUCUUUAACGGUCGGGCUUCGGCCCGGCCUAUGCAAACCCGAGGUAAUGGUCAAUAGAGACGGACGGGGGCAUCCGUACUGCGGCGACAGAGGUGAAAUUCUUGGACCGCCGCAAGACGAACGACAGCGAAGGCAUUUGCCAAGAAUGUUUUCCUUGAUCAAGAACGAAAGUUAGAGGUUCGAAGGCGAUCAGAUACCGCCCUAGUUCUAACCAUAAACGAUGCCAACUAGCGAUCCGCCGGUGUUACUCCCAUGACUCGGCGGGCAGCUUCCGGGAAACCAAAGUCUUUGGGUUCCGGGGGAAGUAUGGUUGCAAAGCUGAAACUUAAAGGAAUUGACGGAAGGGCACCACCAGGAGUGGAGCCUGCGGCUUAAUUUGACCCAACACGGGAAACCUCACCAGGCCCGGACACUGGAAGGAUUGACAGAUUGAGAGCUCUUUCUUGAUUCGGUGGGUGGUGGUGCAUGGCCGUUCUUAGUUGGUGGAGCGAUUUGUCUGGU